AACUCCAGAUUAUUUAGUUUACAAAAUUUAAUUCUAAUCUCCCUGACAUUAUCCAUAGGAAAUUAAGACAGUGGCAUGGUAUGUUGUUUACUUUUUAAAUUGUCCAUUCCAAUAACCCCCACAAUUAAAGAUUUUAUCAAAUUAAUCUUUUUCCACCGAUGGGCCAUUCUCCACGUCUUUGUUAGCUAGCUAGAUAGUUUUGUUGGCAGUGUAAGAUGGAGGGGGACCGUCCUAUGGUUUAUCAUCCAUGGUUUUUGCAUGCAUUAUCCUCUUCUUUUUGGUUUAUCUACCCGUGCACUUGGUCAUUUUAAAAGACCCCAAUCACUUCUUUUGUGGAUUCAUGAGAGACGUCUAUAAAUUUCGGCAUGAGUGUGACAUUAUUGUGUGAUGUUAUUAAUUUAAAUAGUAUAAUAUGAAUAGACGAUAAUAUUAAUAUUUAUAGUCCUACUCCUACGUAUAGCAUAUAUUAACAAAUAAAUACAAAACUUAUCAUAUCACUUAAUUGCUGAUCACGUACCAGUGUGACAUGCGAUCACACCAAUAGAUAUUCAUAUAAUAAGUUUUGGUCGGUGCACAGUAUG
rnacentral:lncRNA from 1 species